UACAGAGGUGGCAAGCGUUGUUCGGAAUUACUGGGCGUAAAGGGCUCGUAGGUGGCCAACUAAGUCAGACGUGAAAUCCCUCGGCUUAACCGGGGAACUGCGUCUGAUACUGGAUGGCUUGAGUUUGGGAGAGGGACGCGGAAUUCCAGGUGUAGCGGUGAAAUGCGUAGAUAUCUGGAGGAACACCGGUGGCGAAGGCGGCGUCCUGGACCAACACUGACACUGAGGAGCGAAAACCAGGGGAGCAAACGGG
rnacentral:rRNA from 1 species